rnacentral:rRNA from 1 species
AUUGAACGCUGGCGGCAGGCCUAACACAUGCAAGUCGAACGAGUGGCGGACGGGUGAGUAAUGUCUGGGAAACUGCCCGAUGGAGGGGGAUAACUACUGGAAACGGUAGCUAAUACCGCAUACCAUCGGAUGUGCCCAGAUGGGAUGAGCUAGUAGGGGGGGUAACGCCUCACCUAGGCGCCGAUCCCUAGCUGGUCUGAGAGGAUGACCAGCCACACUGGAACUGAGGCACUGUCAAGACUCCUACUGGAGGCAGCAGUGGGGAAUAUUGCACAAUGGGAGAAAGCGUGAUGCAGCCAGGCCGCGUGUAUGAAGAAGGCCUUCGGGUUGUAAAGUACUUUCAGCGGGGAGGCGUUACCCGCAGAAGAAGCAACGGCUAACUCCGUGCCAGCAGCCGCGGUAAUUC